UUCCAACAACGACAGCUAAUUUUAGGCACCAAAACGACAGGUUAAGUUCAGGAAAAAGAUCGUGGU